AUACAAAUGACAGCAAAAACGUAUUUGAUGACAGUUGACAAAUUCACAAGUGACAAUAAUUGACAAAUUAAAAUUUAACACUUAAGAAAAUUUAAAUUUCAAAUGACGCAAUGACGAUGACGGACACGGAAAAAUAAACAGAAAAAGGAAAAGCCGAUUUUCGAUCACUCAGUUACUGCCAUAGAGGUAAAAAACCCGAAAUAGGUAAAAAUAAAAGUAACAGUGUAACCACGAGCCGUAUUGUCCAGUGUGACCGGCACCCGUUGUCAGGUGUAAUAUUGCGAUAAUUACUAUAACAAUUUAAGCAAUAAUAAAAUACUAAAAUCUUUUAGUUGAAAUUACCAAAAUAUAGGUAAAAAAGUCAAAAGUGGUUGAAGUAUACUGUUAUCCUUUGUGAUUGAAAUAAUGUAAUACCUUACACCACUAUUUCUAAUUCAGGAACCGUCGCUUUUACUUCCCAAAUCUGAGUCUAGAUUUAAAUGAACAAAGUUUAACGAUUGUCGUCCACUGACAUCGUUCAGUGUACUUUAAGCGGUACACGACUUAUACGCUGAGUGUGAGAAAGACGAGUGGGGCCGACUGUUGCCUUUACAGCACGGCCAUUAGGAACGCCCACAACCAUGGCACACCAUAUUCAGAUCGUGUCUUGUACACUGAACGUAAUCGGUUUGUUUGCCAAAUCAACGAUGGUGUUGAUUGUCUUGCUGGCCGACUGCAGCAAAACUACGAUACAAGCCGCGUACGAGGUGAACAAGAACACCGCACAAAGGAACAGCGUGAACGUGGCAAUUCGCGCAGGUACCUUGUUGACAAAUAGCAGCAAAGACUAAGGUGACCGUAUCUAGUGCGAACGAGAGUUUCAUUUCUACGCCAUGUAACCAAU